rnacentral:rRNA from 1 species
UACGUAGGGGGCGAGCGUUGUCCGGAUUCAUUGGGCGUAAAGAGCUCGUAGGCGGUUUGGCAAGUCGGGUGUGAAAUCUCUGGGCUCAACUCAGAGAGGCCACUCGAUACUGCUAUGACUAGAGUCCGGUAGGGGACCAUGGAAUUCCUGGUGUAGCGGUGAAAUGCGCAGAUAUCAGGAGGAACACCGGUGGCGAAGGCGGGUCCCUGGGCCGAUACUGACGCUGAGGAGCGAAAGCGUGGGGAGCGAACAGG